CCUACGGGUGGCUGCAGUGAGGAAUAUUGGUCAAUGGACGAGAGUCUGAACCAGCCAAGUAGCGUGAAGGAUGACUGCCCUAUGGGUUGUAAACUUCUUUUAUACGGGAAUAAACCGUUCUACGUGUAGGAUUUUGUAUGUACCGUAUGAAUAAGGAUCGGCUAACUCCGUGCCAGCAGCCGCGGUAAUACGGAGGAUCCGAGCGUUAUCCGGAUUUAUUGGGUUUAAAGGGAGCGUAGGUGGAUUGUUAAGUCAGUUGUGAAAGUUUGCGGCUCAACCGUAAAAUUGCAGUUGAAACUGGCAGUCUUGAGUACAGUAGAGGUAGGCGGAAUUCGUGGUGUAGCGGUGAAAUGCUUAGAGAUCACGAAGAACGCCGAUUGCGAAGGCAGCUUACUGGACUGCAACUGACGCUGAGGCUCGAAAGUGUGGGUAUCAAACAGGAUUAGAUACCCGAGUAGUC
rnacentral:rRNA from 1 species